UACAGAGGUGCCGAGCGUUAGGCGGAAUCACUGGGCUUAAAGCGUGUGUAGGCGGGUCGUUAAGUGCCUUGUGAAAUCCCACGGCUCAACCGUGGAACUGCUGGGCAUACUGGCGAUCUUGAGUCAGCUAGGGGCAACCGGAACAAACGGUGGAGCGGUGAAAUGCGUAGAUAUCGUUUGGAACGCCAAUGGUGAAAACAGGUUGCUGGGGCUGUGCUGACGCUGAGACACGAAAGCCAGGGGAGCGAACGGG
rnacentral:rRNA from 1 species